rnacentral:rRNA from 1 species
GACAGAGGGUGCAAACGUUGUUCGGAAUUACUGGGCGUAAAGCGUGUGUAGGCGGCUACAUAAGUCGGAUGUGAAAGCCCCGGGCUCAACCCGGGAAGUGCACUCGAUACUGCCAAGCUAGAGUAUCGGAGAGGUUGGUGGAAUUCUCGGUGUAGAGGUGAAAUUCGUAGAUAUCGAGAGGAACACCGGUGGCAAAGGCGGCCAACUGGACGAAUACUGACGCUGAGACUCGAAAGCGUGGGGAGCAAACAGG